rnacentral:rRNA from 1 species
GACGAACGCUGGCGGCGUGCCUAAUACAUGCAAGUAGAACGCUGAAGGAGGAGCUUGCUUCUCUGGAUGGGUUGCGAACGGGUGAGUAACGCGUAGGUAACCUGCCUGGUAGCGGGGGAUAACUAUUGGAAACGAUAGCUAAUACCGCAUAAUAGCAGUUGUUGCAUGAUAACUGUUUGAAAGGUGCAAUUGCACCACUACCAGAUGGACCUGCGUUGUAUUAGCUAGUUGGUGGGGUAACGGCUCACCAAGGCGACGAUACAUAGCCGACCUGAGAGGGUGAUCGGCCACACUGGGACUGAGACACGGCCCAGACUCCUACGGGAGGCAGCAGUAGGGAAUCUUCGGCAAUGGACGGAAGUCUGACCGAGCAACGCCGCGUGAGUGAAGAAGGUUUUCGGAUCGUAAAGCUCUGUUGUAAGAGAAGAACGAGUGUGAGAGUGAAAAGUUCACACUGGACGGU